GGGUCCUCUGUAGAAAUAGUAGGAGCUUGGGAUACAGAAUAACACAACCAGUUUCUUUAGGAGAGGGAGUUCCCUAGGGGCGGAGCCGUGUACCUGGUCAACCUGACUGUAUCCUGGACUCCGGUGAAUCUGGGUUGACUUUGGACAGGUAAGAGGGGGUUGAGGCAAUACUGAUGUGAGUAUUCUGUCGGCUGUCAAAUGUUGGACAAGUACCCUGCUCCCAAUUUUUAAUGGCUAAAUAUUUUGAAAUAAGCUGUUUAUAGUUUUAAAAGUAUUUAUGUAUUGACUUAUUUAUAUAGAGCAGAGUAUGGAGCAUUGUACAUAACAUUUUUUUCUUUUGAAAUUGAUCAAAACAGUAGAUCAACAUUACCAAAAGCUAAGGGAAAAAAGGGUGGGGGGGGGGGGAAUAAUCCAUUAUCCUACCUUCUGUUUUUUCUGCAUGAAAAUAGAUUUGAGAGCUGUAAGUGUGGUUCAGUCAGUUAAGUGCCUGACUCUUGAUUUCAGGUCAGGUCAUAAGAUCAAGCCCCUCGUGGGAUUUGUGCUGGGUGUGGAGCCUGCUUAGGAUUCCCUCUCCCUCUCUCUCUGCCCCUCCCCUGCUCGCACAUGCACUCUCUCUCUCUCUCUCUCAAAACAAACAAACAAGAUUUGGACAUGGUCUCAAUCAUAAUGCACAUAUAAUUUGUAUUCUGCUUUUCUUUUUUUUUUUUUUAAGGUUUGUGUAUUUAGAGGCGCCUGGGUGGCUCAGUUGGUUAAGCAUCCGACUUUGGCUCAGGUCAUAAUCUCGUGGUUUGUGAGUUCAAGCCCGCAUCAGGCUCUCUGCUAACAGCUUAGAGCCUGGAGCCUGCUUCGGAUUCUCUCUCUCUCUCUCUCUCUGCUCCUCCCCUGCUUGUGCUCUGUCUCUCUCUCUCAAAAAUAAAUAAACAUUAAAAUUUUUUUUUUAAUUUAUGUAUUUAUUUUUGAGAGAGAGAGAGAGAAUGUGAGAGAGAGUGAGUGGGGAAGGGGCAGAGAGAAAAUACCAAGUAGACUCUGCACUGUUAGUGCAGAGCCAGACACGGGGCUUGAUCUCACAGACUGUGAGAUCAUGACUCGAGCUGAAACCAAGAGUUUAGAUGCUUAACGGACCGAGCUGCCCAGGCACUCCUGUGUUCUGCUUUAAAAAAAAAAUUGUUUUUUAAUGUUUUUAUUUUUGAGACAGAGAGAGACAGAGCAUGAACGGGGGAGGGUCAGAGAGAGAGGGAGACACAGAAUCCGAAGCAGGCUCCAGGCUCUGAGCUGUCAGCACAGAGCCCGAUGCCAGGCUCGAACCAUGAACGUGAGAACAUGACCUGAGCCAAAGUCCGACACCCAACUGACUGAGCCACCCAGGCACCCCUCUUCAUAAUUCAUUUUUAAUGUCUGUGUAAUAUCUCAUUAGAAAGAUGUACCAUAACUAACAUUUUCCCUAUUAUUGGGCAUCUAAGUUGAUUCACAUUUUGUAGUGAACAUCUCUUUUGGGGUGGGGGGGGGGCGGGGAUCAUUUCUUAAGAUCAGUUCCAGCAGUAAGAUUACUGUGUCAAAGGGAAGAGACAUUUUUAUGACUCUUGAUACACAUUGUUAAACUGUUUUACAAAAGGUUUGACCUUCUUUGCACAACUUAAAGGUGAAUCAUCAGCCAUGAUCCAGGGCUUACAUUUUGGACAGUUAAUUAUUAUUUCCAUAUUAGGCAGAGAGACAAGUUCUGUGCACAUUUGAACUUCUUCUAAUUGCUUUCAUUACAUAGAGCUGACUUGUCGAGAAAAAUGUCCUGGCUGUGAGACAUUCCAGACAACAGAGCCAUCACUUUUGAAAAGUUUGGACCAAUCCCAAUUUUGUAAUCAGUUCCCAGGGCUGUUCAUAUUUUUUUUGGCAGAGAUGUCUGUCUCUGUGGUCAAAUGCAGCUGAAUGGUUGAAGUCACAGGGUGAGCUGAUCAAGGUGCCUAUUUUAGCAUUAGAUUGGCAGUCUGUGGCCAGGUGUCUGGGUAUUUUGAGAGAAGUCAUUUUGAAAAGUAAUUUGCAAUUCAUAACCAUGAAUAGUAUCAGAAGAGUCAUAUGCAGGUCCUCUGUGGAAAUUCUCCCCCCUCCCCUUCCCUAUACCAAUUGGAAGAUAAUCAUUGGGUUUUGGUGGAAACACAUGAACUGCAAGGAAGUCAGGAUGCUUUAGUCCUGGCCACACAUCUCAUGGUGCCUGUGCUUUGAGCUGGGUUUCCCCCUCUGACAAACAAGAAUGUUGGAAGCAAGAGUCCCAAAGUCCCUAAAAUUUUUUAGGUUCUCUGUCCAGUGGAUGACUCCAAUUGUAUCUUCAUUUUUAAAAAAAAUGUUUAUUUUUCGGAGGAAAAGAGAGGGCACAUGUGCGAGUGGGGGAGGGGCAGAGAGAGAGGGAGGGAGAGAGAGAACCUCAAGCAGGCUCUGCACGUGAUUCAGGACUCGGGGCUCAAACUCACACACCGUGAGAUCAUGACCUGAGCUGAAAUCAGAGUCAGAUGCUUAACUGACUGAGCCACCCAGGCGCCCCUGUAUCUUCAUUUUUGUAGCCAAAGAUGUAAUUUCCCUAUUCACUGGUGGUUCUGUCAGACAACAAUGGAAAAGAACAGGAUGUGAAACACAAACCAAUGUUUAUAUUUUGACAUUUCCACUAAAAGGUUUCAUGGCAUAUAUAAUUAGAACUAAUGGCUAUAACUAUGUUAACUACCUAUGGCUUGAAAUUACUGAGACCAUCCCUGUUCCUCAUUAAUAUGUUAAACAUAAAACCAGGAAAAAAAAAGUAGCACUCACUCUUGUCCAGCAGGUUGAGAGGAAGUUGAUCCAAUCUGUGUAACUGGUCUUAAAUUUACUGACCAUUACUUUAUUUGCUGACUGUAAAAAUUCUAGCAUAAAAAAUAGCAUUCUCAGCAGCAACAUUUUCAAACAUGAAGGCCAAUGAUAUUUUAUUUAGCAUAGCAUAUUUAUUUAUUUAUUUUAUUUAUUUUUAUUUAUUUUUGAGAAAGAGACAGAGUGCAAGCGGGGGAGGAGCAGAGAGAAAGGGAGACACAGAAUCCAAAGCAGGCUCCAGGCCCUGAGCUGUCAUCACAGAGCCCAAUGUGGGGCUCAAACCCACAAACUGUGAGAUCAUGACCUGAGCUGAAGUUGGACGCUCAACCGACUGAGACACCCAAGUGCCCCUAGCAUAGCAUUUUUAAAAUCUAAAAGCAAUUUGAUAAAAGAAAAAAAAAAAAAAAAAAAAAAACAACUUUGGCCAUUUAGGGGAAGAAUAAAGGAUACAGUCACUUUCUGUUAGCUCAACUGAAUUAUUUUUCACUUAGUCUCUUAAUAGCAGUAGCUAUUCUCAUUUUCUCCUAUGAAGGCACAGUCAGAAGAGAGAUUUAAUCAUGAAGUUUGUGGUCACUUUAAUGUAGUUGCUCUUAGAAGGCUUUUCAGUUGACUAUGGAAACUUCAUCAUGAGAGGCAAGGUGAAGGUCACUCUAGCUGAGUUUGAGCAGUUUACUUAACCUGUCUGCUUCUCUACUAGUAAAAUGGGUUGUUGUGUGGAUUCAAGCUAAUAUAGUAAAAGCACCGAGCUACUCUCUUGCACGUGAGGAUGCUAUAUUUAGAGAGGAACCCAAUUCUCAACCUCUCCCCAAGGGAUAGUUGCAGGAAAGUGCUGGAUGUCAGGCCUGAAGGGUUGAAACAGUUUGAAAGUUUGAAAGCAGCUUUUAGCAUCAUAAAGCCAUCCAUAUUCUUUCAUCAAAUUCAGCUGUUUUGUUUUUUGUUUUUUUGAAUGCCUAUGAUGAACCAGGUACUAGGGGUACUAUUGUGAACAAAACAGAAAGAGGUCCUGCCCUGCCGAGUGGACAGACAAUAAGUAAACAAACAGGAUUCACCAGAUGGAGAUAAGUGCUAUUAAAAAAAGAAAAAAACAAAACAAAAACAAAAACAGAGUAUGGAGAUAAGAUAGAGAGUGAUAGGAUGGGAGGGAUGCUGUUUUGGAUAGAGCUUUCAGGUCAAAUAAGAUCAGUCUCUUUCACCAGAAGACAUUGGAGCAGUGUUCCUGAAAGAAGUGAGGGUGCUCUGAACUUGUGAUAUGAAUCCUGGGCAGAAGAUAUCCCAGUCAGAGAGAACAGUAUGAGCAAAGGCCCUGAGGCAGCAGCAUGUUUGGUAUGUUCUACUAAAGAGGCCAGUGUUGUGGCUAGAAUGGAGUAAACAAGGAAGAGAAUGGGACUAGGGACUGAGACCACAGAGCUGGGUAGGGUGGCUGGAUCAUAUAAAGCCUUGUACAUUAAAAUAAGCACAUUCUUUGGCUUUUAUUUUGAGUAAAAUGGAAGCUAAGGAGAUUUUUAAAAAAAUAUAUUUUAUUUACUUUUGAGAGAGCACAAGCUGGGGAGGGGCAGAGAGAGAGAGACAGAGGAUCUAAAACGGGUUCUGUGAGCCCGAUGUGGGUCUUAAACUCAUGAACUGCAAGGUCAUGACCAGAAUCGAAGUCAGGUGGCUCAACUGACUGAGCCACCCAGAUGCCCCAGCCAUGGAGAUUUUUGUGCAGAGAAGUGACAUCACCUGACUUUAAAGGAGAUUUUUUAGUGUGAUAUAGAGUCAGGAAAUGGAGGAUAGGGUGGAUGGGAAGAGGUCACAUAGAAUUGUGCUUUCCAAAAUUGUAGCCACUAGCCAUAGGUAGCUAUUUUAAUGUAAAUCAGUUAUUUAAAAAUAUGAAUUCAUAUUCUUUUUUUUAAUUUUUUUUUUUUUUUGAGAGAGAGAGAGAGUGUGUGCAUGCGUGCAAGCAGGAGAGGAGCAUAGAGAAAAAGAGAGAAUCCCAAGCAAGCCCCGUGCUGUCAGCACAGAGCCCAAGGCAGGGCUGGAUCUCACGAAUGGUGAGAUCAUGACCUGAGCUAAAAUCAAGAGUCAGAUGCUCAAUUGACUAAGCCAUACAGGCACCCCACAGAUCCAUAUUCUUAAUUGCACUACCACAUUCCAAGUGCUCAAUAGCCACAUGUAGCUAGUGGUUACUGUAUUGGACAGUGAAAUAGAAAUAAUUUCCAUCAUCACAGAAAGUUCUGUUGGACAGUGCUGAUGGAAUCUUAAAGACCUUCAUAGAGUCUUUGGCUUUUACUCCGGGUAGAUGGAAAGCCGUUGGAAGAUUUUAAGCAAAGGAGGACAUGCUCUGAGUUAUGAUUUUGAAAGAUCACUAGGGUUGCCAUGUUGAGAAUAGACUGUGAGGGGCAAAGCUCAGAGACCAUUAAUUAUCUAGUUGGGAGAUGAUUGUGUCUUGGUUGGUUGCAGUGGUGAUCAUGAGAAAUGGUUGGAUUUUCAACAUACUUUGAAGGCAGACUCGGUAGGCUUUUCUGAUAGAAUUGAUGUGUGAUUUGAGAAGAAAGUGAUAAAAGUGUUGUGGCUGAAGAUGACGGGAGAGAACAUAAAGCACAGGUGGAAGGAUUGAACACACAGAGGAAGAGUCCCAUUCAUCAUGAACUGGGAGACAGAGCAGGGCUGCGGCUGGAAGAAAGAGGUCUAGAGCGCCCUCAUCUGAGUACUAAAAGAUGGAGAGGUAAAGGGAGAGAUAGGUGUGCCGAAACUGUAAGAAUGGUGGAGAAGAUUCCAAGUAGUUAUUGGAAAGGGCCCAUUUGAAGUUGGGGAUUAUGAAACCAUCUACUCUUUUGAUUCUCUCCAGCAGAAUAUGACUGCUUGCAUACAAGCAAGGGGGAAAGAGAUGAGUGGGUUCAUUCAGGGCUGAUGUUUUCCUGGAUGGAUUUGUGACAAGGAUAUUAUAACAUGGAGUCAAACUUGAUAAAGAGGAGAGUGAAAAAAGCAGAGGGCUGAUGAUUUGGGAGGAAGUAGAGGGAUCAGCACAUUUUCUUUGUUUCUUUUUUUUAAUUUCUAACGUUUAUUUAUUUUGAGAGAGAGAGAGCACAAAUAGGGAAGGAACAGAGAAAGAGAAUCCCAAGCAGGUUCCGUACUGUAAACGCAGAUCCCGAUGUGGGGUUGGAACGCAUGAACUGUGAGAUCAUGACCUGAACCCAAACAGAGAGUCGGAUGCUUAAUCAACUGAGCCACCCAGUGGAGGCACUAAUAGUUCUAAGAACAGUUGCAGCUGUAGACCAUGCAAGUUAGAAGGAGAGAUGCACAUCGAGGGGUGCCUGGGAGUCAGCAAUUUCUCAGAUGGAUGUUUCAGGUGACAACAAGUUCCAGCCUUUGGAAUCUAUGCAGCUGUAUCUUCAUUCUGGGCUGACUUGCUAUGUCCCGGGAUUCCACAUAAUCUGAUCUCACUGUGGAUCUCAUGUAGGCGGGUUUGGACACCAAAAGCCCAAGAGCAUGGCUGUGGGGCCUACCCCGCAGUUCCAGGCCCAUAGCAAAUAGGCUGUGUAACCAUGGACCUUGAGGAAAUGAACUUCAUGGUCCCUUCCAUCUCUCAUCUGUGACUGUAUGGCCUCAUUAUAAUUACAGUCUUUUUCCAAACACUGACCUUCAAGAUGGACCCUGGGGGAUUUGCCUAUUAAAAAUAUGCAACUUGGGGUGCCUGGGUGGCUCAGUCGGUUAAGCAUCCGACUUUGGCUCAGGUCAUGAUCUAGUGAGUUCGAGCCCCGCGUCGGGCUCCAUGCUGCCAGCUCAGAGCCUGGAGCCUGCUUCUGAUUCUGUGCCUCCUUCUCUCUCUGCCCCUUCCCUGCUCAUGCUCUGUCUCUAUCAAAAAUAAAUAAAUGUAAAAAAUAAAAAUAAAAAAAAUAAGCCUGGGUGGCUCCGUCAGUUAAGCAGCCGAGUCUUGAUUUUGGCUCAGGUCAUGAUCUCAGGGUUCAUGGGAUCGCGCAGGAUCUGAUAGCACAGAGCUGGCUUGGGAUUCUCUCCUUCUCUCUCUGCCCUUACCCUGCUUAUGCUCUUUUUCUCUUUCUCAAAAUAAAUAAACAUUAAAAAAAUAUGCAACUUUGCAAAUAUUUAUCUGCUGCUUCUUGGAAUAUUCAACUCUUGGAAAGCUGUCUUCUGGGUCACAUGACAGAAUGUUGGCCAUGUGGUCACCUGAGCCUGUGUGACAGGAAUUCUAUACCAGCUGCAUCUGGAUCUAGGUGUCCUUCAGGCCCUGCUCUCUCCAAUGCUCUCCACCUAACAAGCAUUUCUCCCUCUUUCUCUGUAUCUCUCUCUAUUUUAUUUUAUUUUAUUUUAUUUUAUUUUAUUUUAUUUUAUUUUAUUUUAUUUUAUUUUAUUUUAUUUUAUUUUAUUUUAUUUUAUUUUGUGUCGCCUGGUGGCUCAGUCGACCAAAUGUCUGACUUUGGCUCAGGUCAUGAUCUCACGGUUCAUGAAUUUGAACCCCACAUAGGGCUUUGCCCUGACAGUGUGGAGCCUGCUUCAGAUUCACUCUCUCCCUUUCUCUCUGCCUCUCCCCCUCUCGCUCUCUCUCUGUCUCUCAAAAAUAAACAAACAUUAAAAAAUAUAUAAAUUUAUUUUAAGUAAUCUCUAAGCCCAACAUGGAGCCUGAACUCGCCACCCUGAGACAGGGAGUGACAUGUUCUACCAGCUAAGCCAGCCAGACACCCCGCAUUUUUCUCUUUUAAUUGUGUUAGUGCCUCAUAGGAGAGCUCCUUCAGCAGAAGUGAUAGAGGCUGUUGCUCUCAGAAUCGAAUGCAAUAUUGUGACCUGUAAAUUCCUAUGACCAUUUCAACAUUUUGUUGAUAUUUAUUCAGGAGAGAUUCCAGAAGGCAAAACUGCCCCCUCCUUUCCCCUCCUCCUCCUCACCAAUCACUCUGACCUCUCUCUCGGGCUGUGAGAGUAUUAAGAACAAUCUAAGGUAAAUUUUUAACACGAUGGUCUAGCUUGGGCUUUGUAGGCUUGGCUAAAUGAAGUAAGUGGUAGUUUUUAGCCAAAAUAACCGCAUUGUUUGGACAAGUUUUCUCUUUUGAGUUUUUUAGGGUCAUUGGAAUGAUCUAACUACCUUACCUGCUAUUUGAACUGGCUGAGCUCUGGAAGGACAGAAAACAAAAGAAGGGUGUUGAAAUGCAAAUAGACAGCUCUAAAUUCCAGUCCCGGGCUGCCAAAAUAGAGCCAAAACUGACAAGGAGGGUCUCCACAGAGGUCUGUGGAAAGCUCUAGAAAAAUCUCACAAGAUGUAUUCCUUUUCGUGAAUUGGAGUCCUCCGGUAGGUAAGAAAAACAAAAACAAAAUAAAAACAAACAAAGGAUUUCAUACUUGGAAUUUGCUCAGUACCAGUUGAAUAGCUAAUUGUUUCUUGUUUUCAUCCCCCCCACCCCUCCUUUUUUUUUUUUUCUGCCUGAAUAGAUAAUCCUUACAAAACAUCCAUUCAUUCUACAAGUGAAAAUUUCAGGAAUACUCGAUACUGACCUUGGCAAGACUAAUGGACCGAGAUUGAGUGAUGGAUUUGUGUGUGUUGUGUGGCUGAUGUGCGUUUUGGUGUUUUGUAUGCUAGUUUAAGAACAUUUAAGCGAUAGGAUAGAAAAGAUUUAUGACAUCUUAAUUAAUGAAUAUGAUGAAGGCUUCAACUUAUAGAUGAAAUGAUAAGAUAUAACAUAUUUAUAGCUUAUUUUUGAGCACAAAUUUGAUUGUGUUUGUUGUUUCAAGAAAGGACCUGCUGAUAAUUAAUGCUAGCUUUUCAAUGUGACCACUUUAACUGAUAUGUAAACAAUUAUUUUUUUUUUUUAGGAAAAUAAAAUAAGGGGGCAAUACAGCCUAGUGAAAAGGACACACAAUAUCAGAUUCUUAGUUUUCUAUUUAAAUUUGGGCUCUUAUUUGACUUCUGCUCUGAACUGGCUGUGUGACUUUGAAUAAGUGAUUAAGUUCCUUUUUUUAAAAACAUAUAAAAUUGGAAUGAGAAAUAUGUGAUGGUGAAAAAAAUAUUUGUGAAGGCGUUUUAAAGUCCCGGGAGGAAAGCACAAUCAGAAACCACAGUCAGGUUGGCUUUUUCACUGAAAAUAUCGGAUUUUGUCAGUAAACCUACAUUUUAGUAUAUUAGUUUUUUUUUAAGCCAUUUAAUUUCAAGUGCUUACAAAAUCUUCAGUGUGUUAAUGGAAAGAAACGCCAUACACUCCAGAUGGCUACAUAGCAACUUUAUUCGGGUAAAAUAAUCUCUUAAAUCCUUGUAUUCAGAGUCACUAACUGUUGGCUUUAUAAGGUCAGUUUCAGCAUACCAGCCCUGUGGCUGUUAGGAGCUGAGCGCGUCCAAGAUAGCACUAACUCGAACAAACACAAACAGCAAAUCGUUUAAACAGUACCAGUUGAUCUGUAUGUAACCCGGUCUGAAAAGAGGAUUCCUCAAAAAGCUCACCAGCAAAGUUACGUUAGUUACGGAGAUUGUUAGGUGGUACCCGUGGAGGUUAGCUAUGCCUUAUUAAAAAGCAGAGGUUAGAAAAUGGAAUCUUAAAUUCAGAUACUCAAACAAUUUUAAAGGCUACGACUUGCAGGCCAACCUUUAUUUCUGACUGCUGACUACUUUUGAAGGAGAAAACUUUGGAAACUGAUAUUCUGGUUCCCAGGUCCUCAAAGAAGCGAAGUGAAGAAGUAAAUUCUGCUGGGGUUAGCAGAAGCCUUGCGGUUUUAGGAACGGAGGAUGCCAGGCUCCCUGGGUUCUGAGUUCCAGUUAUUGACUCUGUCCGUGAGUCACCCUGACUAGUCACCCACUGUCUUGUGUUUCCUUCUUUAGGGAAGAGCUAAGACUAUUGAUUUUUUUUUUUUAAGAUUUUAUUUUUAAGUUAUCUCUACACCCAACGUGGCUCGAACUUACAACCCUGAGAUCAAGAGUUGCAUGACUGCAACUACCUACCGACUGAGCCAGCCAGGCGCCCCAGACUAUUGACUUUUUCAGAGGUUGCAAAACACAUUAUAAAAGGAUAGGCUGGCACUAAACAAACAUGUAAUUAUGAAAUAUUAGAGGGGGUACAUAUUAAUAAAGGCAAAUGCAUUCCUUUUUUUUUUUUUUUUUUUAAUUUUUAAGUAAUCUCUACACCAACAUGGGGCUUGAACUCACAACCCCAAGAUCAAGAGCCACAUGCUGUACUGACUGAGCCAGUCAGGCACCACUAUAAGGGUAAGUGGAUUCUUUUGAAAAUUAGAAGUUGAUAAUCUUUAUGUAAGAAUAGGGAGUUUGACUUCAAAAUACAGUUUUAUGUUUGAACAUUGUGAAUUUGGGUCCUUGUUUGCUCUGUUAAUCUAUGUUGCUUACUGAAAGGAAACUGUUAACAAGUUGCCUUACUGGAAUGGUUAAUUGCUUGUCAGGGAUCAGAAUCCCCCCAGUCCUUCUAGAAACGUGUAUUUAAAUUUAGUAACCUGACUUUCAAAGAGGGAAACUAAUAUUUAUUCAUUGAGUGGAGGGCACUGAGUAUGGGUUUCUGUAUGUGUUGUAAACAAACCAAAAGUACAGAGUGAAUCCUCUAGAGACCAAAAGUACAGAGUGAAUCCUCUAGAGACCAAGAGUACAGAGUGAAUCCUCUAGAGACCCUAAAAAAGUUAUUUGUUUGUUUGUUUUGAAGGAAAUUGAGGCACCCAUUUUUGUCCUCACUUUCCCAGGACCACUAUUAAGCACCAGCUUGGGUUUUGAAUUCUGUCUUCUUGCUGGACAUCAAGUCGAGGCCUCCUUAACACAGCAAACCUUUCAAAAAUGGAACCCAAUGUUUGUUAGUUUUCUUAAUGGUGCCUCUCAUAAUUAAAAAAAAAAAAAAAAGUAUAAAUUUGAACUUUCCAUCCUUUCAGACUUGUUUAGACCCUCUACCAAUCUACCCAGUCCUGAGAGCCCUUCAGGCUUUCCAUCAGUGUCAAGCAUCCCUUUUCUGAUUCCAAGUGAUGGACUAUAUUCUCAUCACCCCAAAUUAACAGCUAUUGUUAUUUUUGUCAUAUCUGUUUCAAUUUUUUAAUGACAUAAAACAUUGGAGAUAAAGGUCAAGUUUCCUUUGAAUACUAAUUCGACUUCCGUUUCUUCCUUCUGUCUUCACCUCAUAGAACCCCUGUUUAGUUUGAUAUGUGCUUUAAAAAUAUUUUAUAUACGGGGGCUCCUGGGUGGCUCAGUCAGUUGAGCAUCCGACUUUGGCUCAGGUCAUGAUCUCACAGUUCAUGAGUUCAAGCCCCACAUCGGGCUCACUGCUGUCAGCACAGAGCCCGCUUCAAAUCCUCUGUUCCCUGCUCUCUCUGCCCCACCUCCACUCAUGCAUGCUCUUUCUCUCUCUCUCAAAAAUAAACGUGUAAAAAAUAUGUAUUUUCUAUAUGUUUAUGGCACCCAUAAUUAAUAUGUAGUAUUGUUUUAUGAUUUUAAAUACAUAUGAAUGGUUCCAUGUGUACUUAUUUUUCUAUGAUUUGCUUACUUUCACUGAAUGUUUGCAUAUGGAUCCAUGUAUCCAUAUAUACAUAUAUCUAUCCAUAUAUAUUAUUUAUAUUUAUAUAUAAAUAUACCAGAUAUAAAUUAUUUAUAAUUUCCUGGUAUUUCAUGGUAUGAAUAAUACUGUAUUUUAUUAAUCAGUCCAUUAGUGGAUAUGGGAUCUUUUUAUAUUAAAAUUUUAUUUUAUUUUAUUUUAUUUUUUUACAGGAUCAUUCUUUUAUUUGCUUAUUUAUUCAUACACAACACAGACUAUUAGGGAGAUAUGGAUUGUUUUACAAUGUUAGCGAACAUAAACAAUGCUUAUUAUUUUUAGGUAAAUUAUUUUUACCUAUGUCAGAUACAGGUGUUAGUUUUUUAGGCUGGAUACCAGCAUGUAGAAUCACUACAUUUUAAAUAUGCCAAAUAUCACUUUCAAGAGAUAUCACCAAAUUGAUUUUCAACUGUUUGAAAACUGUUCCUUAAAUACUCUCAACACUUGUUAGACUUGCUUGCUUUAAAAUUUAUUUAAAAACAUUUUUUUUCUUGUGAUAAGGACUCUUAAGAUCUCUUAAGCAACUUUCAAAUAUGCAAUACGGUAUGGUUAACUAUCUUCACUAAGCUGUACAUUACGUCCCUAUCGGGCUUCUUAAUUUUUGCCAAUUUUAGUGGUAACCAGUGGUUUUCUCUCGGGUUUUCUAGCUUCCUUUCAGUUCAUUAUAUUUGCAGUCCUUCCCUAAGGACCGAUCUGUUCAGAGGCUCUCCGGGCCAGACACUUCAGAGGCUCUCCACUAUCUGCUCAAUCCAAACCGCGGCGGCCCCAGCCAGACGCUCUGCAAGCAGCCCGCGUAGCCUCCUCUGUACGUGCCUGGCUGCACCAAAAUGAGCUACUCACCAUUUUCUCAAAUGCAGCUCUUGUUUUUCUGCCUCUGCAACUUGAUCACGCUCUUCUGUGUUACUUUAUUGAUUCAAUAAAUAUUUAGUGAGUUCUUUACUUCCUGCCAGGUGCCGAGAAUGUAAGGGUGAACCAGAAAGGCAAUAUCUAGGCGUGCACGGAGGUUACGAUUUCUAGCAGAGGAUGGGAGGGGCAGAAAGAAACCAGUAAAAACAAACAAACAAACAAGAUCAUUUUUCAUAGUUGUAAGUACUAUAAAGAAAGCGAAAUGGAAUAUUCAUGUGACUUUGUGUGGAGUUGGGUGUGUUGGGCAAGGGGCUGGGGCGGGGAGUCCAGGGUACGUGGGCAUAUCGGCGUGGGAGCCUUAGAAGGGCAGGUGCUCAGGGAAGGCUUUGCAGAGGAGGUGAUAUUCCUCCUGAGAUGAGCUGUAUGAAGCUAACUCACAGCCCAGGCAUGUUGCUCACCUGGAGCUGCUUCUAGGCAGGGAUGGCCCGGGUGCACUGAAGAACAGAGCUGCCUCUGUGGCUGGGUGGUCAGGACUAGGGGAGUGGUUGAUGCCAGAGGAGGCACCUUGCUGGUGUUCUCUUCAACUGUAGUUUGUCCUUUAGAUAUAUAUUUAUUUACUUUUAAACUCUACCCCUCACAUGGGGCUGGAACUCACAACCCUAAGGUCAAGAGGCUCAUGUUCUACCAACUGAGCCAGCCAGGGGCCACUGUAGUUUAUCCUUCUUUUCUUUCUUUCUUUCUUUCUUUCUUUCUUUCUUUCUUUCUUUCUUCUUUUUUUUUUUUUUUAAGUUUACUUAUUUACUUAUUUUUGAGAGAGAGACAGAGAAAGGGAGCCAGUGUGAGCAGGGGAGGGGCAGAGAGAGAGGGAGAGAGAGAAUCCCAAGAAGGCUCUGUGCUGUCAGCACAGAGCCCCACACAGGACUCGAUCUCACAAACCGAGAGAUCAUGACCUGAGCUGAAAUCAAGAGUCAGACUUAACCGACUGAGUCACCCAGGUGCCCCCUGUAGGUUGUCCUUCAAAGCCAUGAUCAAAUGCUCUUUUUACACCCAUGCCUGAGCCUGCCAGCUGAGAGCCAUCUUCCUGGACCCCCAUGGCCCAGUGGAGGUCCCUCUUAUGGAACUUUAUGUGGCACUUUGGGAUCUUGGUGUCUGUUCUUCCCAAGAGCUAAUUUGCUUUCAUUUUGAAAUUUUGUUUCUACCUUGUAGGGGGCAAUAUUUUAUUUUACUUUAUUUUUUUAGGUUUUAUAUUUUUAAAUAAUCUCUAUACCCAAUGUGGGGCCCAAACUUACAACCUCAAGAUGAAGAGUCUCAGGCUCUACUGACUGAGUCAGCCAGGCACCUGGCCAAUAUUCUUAUCUUAGAUUGAGGAAAGUAGAGGGAGAAAAGGUACAAUGCAGAAGAAGCCUGUCCUUUCUGAUUGAGUCACUUUGGAAGGGCCUGAGUUUCAGUGAAAUAAACUUCCCUUUAGUGUACCUAAGCUAAUUUUCACAGUGGCUCAUAAAAUUAAUUUACUUUUCUUUAAUAACUGUUAAGACCAUUUGGAGUUCCCAAAGUGACAUUUUUAUCCCACCUAGGUUUUUUUGUCAGAAUAUCAGUUAUUCAUUGCUAUUAACAAUUAAUAAUCAUUAACAAUCUUGGUUUGUUUACUUUUUUUUAACUGUAGUAGUUUUUUUUUUCUUUUUAAUGUUUAUUUAUUUUUGAGAGAGAGAGAGAGAGAGAGAGAGAGACAGAGCAUGAGCAUGAGCAAGGCAGGAGCAGAGAGAGAAAGACACAGAAUCUGAAGCAGGCUCCAGGAUCUGAGCUGUCAGCACAGAACCCAACAAGGGGUUCAAACCCACGAACUCCAAGAUCAUGACCUGAGCUGAAGUCGGACACUUAACCGACUGAGCCACCCUGGUGCCCCUGUUUACUUUUUUUUUUUUUUUUUAAGUAAUCUCAUGGGACUCAAACUCAUGACCCUGAGAUUAAAGAUUGCAUGCUCCAUGGACUGACACAGCCAGGUUCCCCAACAAUCUUGUUUUAGAUGCUGUGUCCACUCUGAGCUUCAGCUUUUUAUGCAGAAGUGAUGGUGUGUUAUCUGCAACGGGGACCUUUCUCCAGCUCCACCAGCUGUUGAGGCCAACAUUGUGUGCUCAAGACUGAUAUGUGUUUCAUGUGGUUAUAUCCCUUUAUCUUCAGGAUAAUCUUUGAGUUGUGAGUUAGAUUUAUUUUCUAGAUGAAAAAAAAAAAAAAAAACCAAACAGGUUCAUAGAGGUCAUUUUCUGUUCCCAGGUUACAGAAUUAGCAAAUAGUGAGCUCACAUUUAAAUUUGGGGCUUCUGACCACUUCUUUGUGAAGCUGCCAUGCUUUAAAUAAUAAUAUAGCAGACACCAACCGCUUGCUAUUUCCAGAUACAACCUGAACCACUGUGCUCUUAACCACUGUGAUGUGCUGUUAAUCUCUUCUUCCUUCUUUAAGUCUCAUUUUCUCUGAGCAUUUAUCAGACAGCGAGAGGCAAUUCAUGGAGGAGGGAAGAGCAUGAACUCUGUCUGGAGCUAGAUUGUUUGGGUCAAGGGCUUCUCGAAAAGCUUACUAGCUGUAAGCUAGUAAAAUCCCUGUCUUGUUCUUCCCUUGUUACCUAGCAAGUAACUAGGGGCAAGUUACUUAACAUCUCUAUAGGUUGGUUUCCUUAUUUUUAAGGUGAAGAUAAUAACCAUAUUACCUCAUUGGGUUUUUGUAAGGAUUAAUGGGAUAAUGCCCAUAAAGGGCUUAGAAGGAGGCUCCUGACCCCUGGAGCUAGCAUGGGCCUCCCACAGGCACUCGACAUCUCUGCCCUCUGCCUACUUCCCUCUGAGUGGUCUUCCCACAGUGGGUGGACUGCCUUAUCUCCCCAGUGACAGUGUGAGCUCUUGCUGGCUUGGUCUGCUUGUUCAAAUCGUAGGCUCCAGGGCAGUGCCUGGCAUGUAGUUGGUGCUCAGCGUGUAUUUGUUGUAUGUGUUUCGGAUAAACCUGAACUACAGGUUCCAUUUUGAACAAAAUAAUCGCUACUCUGGUUUCCCAUCAAUAUGCCCUAUGAAUUAGCGUUCCCCGAAAUUCCAUUUCCAGGGCUUCAAAUGUGCUCUCAAAUGACUCAUGAAUCUGCUCUUCUGGUUCUGACCAUUUUUAAAAUCUGUGUCUCCAACUACCUAUUGGAAAGAAAAUCCUGUAGGCAUCCCAAACUCUACAUGUUCAAAACCAAACGCACUGCCUUUUCCUUCAGACACAGGUCUUUCUUCUGUGUCCCCAGCCUGGUUGAUGACGUGUGCCUUCACCCGCCCACUUAGAGACCUUGGAGGCUCCCGUACUCUCCCCUCUUCCCCUCAGCCUGCAGCCGGCCACCUAAGUGGCUGCCCAAAACUUGCCUGUGAGUCACAGACAGAGGUCUGAAGCCAGUUUUCAGCCACCAGACUCCAAAGCUUGCACCCUCAACCUGAGAAAUUUCUCCAAAGAAGUCCCUCCUUUAACCUCAGGAUCCUUGUGCUAGUUUGGACUGGAUGUGUCCUGGCAUGUCCCACCAGCCUUCCUUGUGUGCUUGUGUACAGCUCCUUCUCCACCCCGUGGCAAGCACUGGCUUUCUAAAAUACAAAUUCAGGGGCUACCUGGGUGGCUCAGUCGCUGAAGCGUCCAACUUUGACUCAGGUCAUGGUCUCCCGGUCUGUGGGUUCGAGCCCCAAGUCGGGCUCUGUGCUGACUGCUCAGAGCCUGGAGCCUGCUUUGGAUUCUGUGUCUCCCUCUCCCUCUGCCCCUCCCCCACUCACGCUCUGUCUCUUUCUCUCUCUCUCUCUCAAAAAUGAAAAAAAACAUUAAAAAAUAAAAUAAAAUACAAAUUCUGUCUUGUGACUGCUGCAUUAAAACCACUGUUGGCUCCUUGUGCAUGUUUUAAAAUCUAAACUCCUCACACAGCAUACAAUCCCUUUCUUUGUCUUUGUGUAGCUUCCCUCCCCACUCCGUGGCCCCUGCCCUCAGCUGUGCCUUAGCCUUAAGGUCUCCUGCUAGACCAGGCAGGUUCUGCACAUGCUGCUCUGGGCCUAGAACACCCUUUCUCCCCUUUGCUUAGUGAAGUCUUUUUCAUCCUUCAACAUUUAGCUCACAAGCCACAUCCUCUGUGAAGGCUUUCAAAGAGGGCCCCAGUCAGCCCCUCCCACCAGUGUCCCUCACACGGCCUUCUGCGCCCACGAUUUGGGUGAACACAUUUCUGAAUCAAGAGUGCAGAUGUGACAGUUCAGAUGGCAAAGACUGUGCUCCUGGAGACAAUGGGACGGAUAAUUGAACGAAGUCCAGAAGAACCUCGUGGGAUAUCACUCCUUCUUCCUCUCCACCACCCUGUGAGGGGCCAGGAAGGGCCCUUCUCUGGCAGGGAGCUGUUUGUAUCUCUUCGUAUCUGCCCGGCACCUGGCACGAUGCCCACCCCAAUCGUUGUUGCCGAGUGUCUGAGGAUUCUACCGGGCCUGAGAUUUUUUAAAGAACAGAUCCAAAUCUCAUGUGUAAAUUCCGCCAAAUAACCAACCAACCCAACCAAGCCAGUAAGAGACAUCGUUUACAUCUUGGCUUUAUCCCUAAAACGAUUUGCUUUCCCUAGCCUCCGCUUCCUCGUCUGUGAAACAGGGAUAGGAGUAGCUAUUUCCAGGGGUUGCUGUGAAGAUUAAGGGAGCGAAUUGAAGGAAAUUAGCAAACACAGGGCCUGGCUCAGGAGUCUUUGUUUCAGGCGCAGAGAUAUGUGGAGCUCAUCACUAUAAACAGGAACCGGGAGACAAGGUCAUGUCCUGAAAUAACUUUUUAAGGUUAGGAUUUCAUUGGGAAUUUUAAAAGUUAAGACAAUGAAGAAUACCACUGAUAUUUACUAACAGCGUUAGCAUUCGAGGAUGCAUCCUCCUAAAUUUUACAAGAACUCUCUUUUAUCCACAAGAUUUAUAGUCGGGCUGGGGGAGGUGUGGUUCACCUUUGUUUAUCUGCUGUCUGAUCCCAAACUUAGCCCUGCAAAGGAGUCGGUGGGGUGAGUGUUUUACAGAUUGCAGGGCCCCACCCCACACGCCUACUGAAUCAGAAUUGGGGGCAGGAAGGGGACUGUAGAUGUACAUUUAUAAAAACCUCCCCUUGUGGUUUGAUCAUCUGCAAGUUUGGGGAACCACUAGUAUAUGUAUCUCUAGAAAAGCAUAGUGCUCAAAAGUCUCCAUGACUCAGCUUCAUCGUCUUUGUAAUUAAAAAAAAAAAAAAAAAAAGAGUUAAUUUGCCUUUGUGUGAACUAUUAGCUUUCUUAAUAAUGCCUGUUUCACCUUCACCGCGGUCUGUUCAUCCUGGAACAGGAUGAACUGGAAAGAACCGUUCCAGUUAAACAAUAGUAGGAAAAAAGGUGCAAACUUUACCAGCUUCCCUACCACCUUAGCAUCAGUGAGGUGUUUCCCCCCAUGUCCUUCUGGGGCAAUUUAAAUGCUAAUGUGUCAGUACUAUAAUCUCUUUAGCAAUCAGAUAGAAUUGUUUUUCUGCCAAUCUUAUUUCUCUUUGUUUUAUAUUUGUUCAUUCAUUCGUUCGUUCAUUUGUUCAUUGUUAGAGAGGCAUAUGUUUAUCAUCUUUGACCUUUCAAACCUCAAGAGAAGAAGAAGAAGAAGAGGAAGAAAAUUCCAUCCUGGUAUCUUCUCUGCAGUACUUUCAAGAGGAGAGGAGGGCAUCCACCCUCUAAACCUGAGAUCUGCAAUUUGAAUGUGCUGAGUCACCUAGUCUGCAGGGUCAAACAUUUUGCACCUAGGAAAAGUACCGCAGAAAAUAAAACUGUGAGCAGCUAGCUGGUAUGUUGUUAUUUGGAUACGAAUAAGAAGACUGGAACGGGGAUCAUGCGUAGUAACUUAUUAUUAACUUUUAAACUUGUUUUCAGAGAUUUCUAAUAGUCUGGUAAAUCCUCUUUCUGUCUGGUGAUUUGUUGGUGAAAUUCUUUAAAUAUUUCUUCCUGUUCCUGGAAAGUGAAAAUGAAUAUAAAUGGUAAAGCAGUUGUCUUACAAUGUUUAGAAAAAAGGAAAAAAGAAAUGGUCUUUGCCAUUAUUCUGAAGUUUUGCAUAACUAAGCUUCUUGAAUUAGCUUUCUUUCAAAGAAUUAGUCAUAAAAGCGUAACAGUAAUGAACUAGAUAUUGAGAGCUGGUGUCUAACUUUAGUCAAACUUUCAGUAAGUCUGUUUUCUUAUUUGAUCAUGUAGUUGAAUAGACAGUGAGGAGAUGUGACUACAACUGGAUUAAUAGGGGAAGUGGCAGGAAGCUGCAGUUUCCUGAGAAUCGGAAAGAAAGUUUACAGAACGCUUGCUGGGAAUGUGGAUUAUAGAUAAAGAUAAAAUUCGUAACCAUUUGUAUUUAGAGUGGCUAUUUUAUUUCUAUAAUAUGAAAGUGGUUCCCUUUAAGGAAGCAUUCGGAACUCAAUGACAACAUUCCUUCAACAAGGAAGUCAGAACCAGUUAAGAUGACUGUCUUCCAGAGCGUGUUAAGUCUUGGGUGGGGAGCAGAGGCUUGAUCGCUUCAUGGAUGGAGCAGUGGGCACCGAGAUCUCCCAGCCAGCGCCUGUGGAAUAACAACAAAAUAAGUACUGUCCCCCCCAGUGUUCACUUGCUCUGUGCAGCGACAGUGCUAAGUACCUAGUUGCACUCUCUCUGAACAUCCUUAUAGUCUCCAUAAAGGAAGAGCUUUUGUUUUUAAUAGCUUAAAGCUGAGUAUACUAAAACUUAGAGGCUAAAUCAUUCGCAUAGCGCUUCUAGACAGUGGCAGAGUGAGAAUCUGAGCCCAGGAGAAUGAUUCUAGCCCUGGUGUCACUGUGGAGAGUGCCUCUUAGCUCAUAAAAAUGACUACUCACCGACAAGGAAUGUUAAAUAUGGAAAGAACAUCAUCAGUUGGUUGGAGUUCUUGUUUUCUCUUGGAGAACAAUUAAGGAGGGGGUGGGGACGGGAGAAAGAGAAGAAAGGGCCGGAAGACUGCAAAUAGCCACCCAGGAGCCCAGCGGGACGCAGAGCAAGAUUCUAACUUAGCACACCUUCUUGCUCAAAGCGAUUCUGUCAUUAGCACCUAUAGAUGAAAACGUGGAAUGUAUUACACAUGUGUUUUGUUUGUUUCCACCUUAGAUUGAUGGACAUAACACAAUGACUUGGCAUUAAAAGAACAAAAAAAGAAACCCCUAAGCUAACUGCCUUUCAUUUGACUCUCCAGAACCGGAAGUAGGCUAACAUUCUACAGGUAGAGGGGCAGGGCAAGGACACGAGCAUCUAGCAUUCAGCAGAGUGGUCUGAAGAAAGGGUGCAGUGUAGGCAUCAGGCCGACAUGGCUCUGCGUCUCUGUUGUUUAUAAGCCUGGUGAUCUGGGUCAAGUGACUUGAUCCCUAUGAAAUCAGGAUGGUUCCUUUUCUUCACAAGACCUAGCGUGGGACCAGAGGAGAGACUCAGCAAAGUGAAUUUUUAAUUUUCACUUCCUCAGAGGCCCAGGUAAGACUAGUUCUGGCAUAGAGCAACCUGGGAAACCACAUAGAGAAUAGAAAUGCUCUGGGUUCAGGUGGCUAUGUCUGAGCCCCAGCUCGGGUCAGGGGAGUUCUCAUGGAGAAGAUGAGAUAUAAGCAAAGAUUUGAAGUUGCUGAGGGAGUUAGUCAUGUGGGGAUCUUGGUGGAAGGUCCUCAGGCAGAGAAAAUAGCUAAGGCAAAUAGAAAAUUGCCUACUGGCCAGAUUUAGGAAUAAAAAGGAAGGCAGUGUGCCGGGAACAGAGCUUGUGGGGGGAAGUAAUAGAAAGUGAGGUUAGAGAAGUAAAGGAGUUGGACUGUUAAGCAUUAUCUUAAUGAUUGAGGGGGUACCUGGGUGGCUCAGUCAGUUAAACAUCUGACUCUUGAUUUUGGCUCAGGUCAUGAUCUCACAGUUUGUGAGAUUGGGCCCUAUGUCAGGCUCUGUGCUGACAGUGUGGAGCCUGCUUGGGAUUCUCUCUCCCUCUCUCUCACCCCUCCCCUGCUCUCGCUUUCACUUGCUCUCAAAAUAAAUAAAUAAACAUUAAGGGAAAAAAAGGACUUUGAGUUUUAUAAUGAAAGAAAUGUGAAGAAAUAUGGAGCCAUUGCUAGGUUUUGAGCAGAGGCGGACAUGAUGAGACUGAGGUUUCGAAAAGGUCAUUCCAAUUGCUAUACUGAGAAGAGACUUGCAGAGGCAAGUUUGAAGCAGGGAGACUAGUAAUCCAGACAAGAGAGGAUAAUGGCUCUGACCAGGGUUCAUGACAGUACAGGGGAUAAGAAGUGAUCAGAUUCUGGACAUAUUUUGAAGGUACGACCAGUAGGACUUAUCAUGGGUUAGAUAUGAAAUAUUUUUGGCAUGAGCAGUAGGAAGGCUGGAGUUUGCCAGCAACAUUUGGGGGGCAACAUGCAGAUAGAUGAAGCAGACUUGCGGGUAAGACUAAGACUUCACAUUUGUCCGUGUUGAGACGUCCACUGGAUAUCCAAGUGGAGGUCAAUGAGUGGAAAGAGAGGUCUGAUCUGGUGACAUAUUUGGAAAUGAUCAGCAUAUAAAUAUUCAAAGACUGGUGACUUAGGGAGAUCAUAAAGGGAGCAUUGAUAGAGAAGAGGAGGGGUCCAAGGACUGAGCUUUAGGGCACUCCAACACUGAGAGUUCUGGAAGAAGAAGAGUGAUCAGCAAAGGAGACUUGAGACAAAACAACCAGGGAGGCUGUUGGGAAGGUGCCAUUCACCAGGCAGAUGGUAAAGAAAGAAUUCUAGCUGAGAGGAGGGCUGAAAGCAAAGACUCAGGGCUGUGAAAAGCUGAUUUGGGAGAGAGGAGGAGGAGAGCAAGUGGUAUGGUAUGGGGAGCUUGUGGGGGAAACGUUGGGGAGAGACAGGAGAUGAGGCUGGAAAAGGGGCUUUCCCAAUUUGAAAUGGCUUUGGAUUCUCAACUUAAGACAUCGGUGGUUUAUUUCAUGAUGUUGGCCACUAGGAUCCAUUGAGGUCUUACUCGAAUUUAUCAUGUGUCACGCACUGUACUAAGCACAUUAUAUACAUUUCAUCAUUUCAUCUUUAUACCUACCCUUUAAGAAAGAUAGUAUUAUUAUCCUCUGUAGGUGAAGAAACUGGCUCAGAGAGGUCAAAGGUUUCACCCAAGGUUACCCCUCGAAUGACUGCCUUUAAUCAGGUGGUUCCAUUCCAGAGUCCAUCCUUUUAACUACUAACCUAUCCUGUCUCCUGGAUGGCUUAGCUGGGUGUUAGAAGGUUAGAGGCUGAGAACUUGCACCCUUUCUCUGGAGAGGAUCUGGCUUCACUCUGUCUCUUGGAGGAGAUGCUUUAUGUGCAAAAGUUCAAGAUAGAUCUGGGGCACCCAUGAAGGAUUUCAAGUAGGUCAGUGACUAGAUCAUAGUAGCAUAGUGUAGCAUACUAAUGUAGUGGCAGGGUGGUGAACAGAAUGGAUGAGGGUGCCUGGGAAUAUGGGCAGGGAGAUAGAUUUGGGGAGCGAUUAGCUGUAUGUGGGACUCUUGAGGGACCUGAGGGCUGGCCAAGCAGUGCACUGUGGGCUGCGGGUCUGGGCCUCAGUGGAGGCUGAUCUGGAGCUGUGGAGUUGAGAGUCAAAGUGGUUGUAGGAAAUGAAAUCACAGUCUGGGUGAGGGAAGCAAUUUUCAGGUGUUCAUUGUCCAUAUUUACACCCUUUUCUGAAAUAGAUCCCCCUGAGAACAAGUCAGCUUCCCACUUUACAGAAAAAAGGCACCCCUCUUGCCUCUCUACCAUCGUACUGUGAUGUGUUUGGGGAGUGUACAAAAACCUGGGCUCCAAACAAAGGGGCCAUUCUAAAUACUGACGCAGGUGUGAGAAAGUGAGUGACUAAGGACUGGGCCACACUUCCUUUUACGAAUCAGGUGGUUUUGGCUGUUUGCUUUUAGCACUUUUGGAGGGAGACCUAAACAUAAUUUUUGAUGAUAGAUUACAAAGUGAUUGUGGGGUUCUGGCUAGCCUGGAUGUCAAAGAUUUGAGCAACAAUGGUGUAAGUAGAAUACUUCCAUUCCUUCACUUGUGUAUUUUGUUAAAUUUUUUUUAAUGUUUAUUCAUUUUUGAAAGACAGAGACAGAGCACAAGCAGCGGUGGGGUGGAGAGAGAGGGGGACACAGAACCUGAAGCAGGCUUCAGGCUCUGAGCUGUCAGCACAGAGCCCAAAGUGGGGCUCGAACUCACAAACCGUGAGAUCAUGACCUGAGCCAAAGUCGGACACUCAACCGAUUAAGCCACCCAGGUGCCCUCACUUGUGUAUUUUGAAGUGUUUCUCAGUGAUUGCAUCUGAAAAAAAAAAAAAAAGUAGUAAGAUGUAAUUAUGCCAAACUAUUUCAGUGUGAUUCAAAGGCAUCCACAGACCUAUGAACUAAUGUUUGGAAAAUAAACCCCGUUCAUCUCUAGUAAUGGAUAUAUUUCCAACAAAAUUUUACUUAAAAAAUUUUUAAGUUUAUUUUUGAGAGACAGAGAGAGAGCGCCCGCAAGUGGGGGAGGAACAGGGAGAGAGAGGGAGACACAGAAUCCGAAGCAGGCUCCAGGCUCUGAGCCAUCAGCACAGAGCCUGAUGUUGGGCUUGAACUCACAAACUGCGAGAUCAUGAAUUGAGCCGAAGUCAGACGUUCAACCAACUGAGCCACCCAAGAACCCUCUCCAAAUUUUACUUAUUAUGUUUAAUAAUUGUCAAAUUUUGCAAUAUACUUCUGAUGCUUUGAUUGUGUAUUACCAAUAAUUAGAAUUUAUUACUACUCAGUAUUACUAUUCAGUCCAAUUUUUUUGCAUGUAUUUGGUGAAUUAUGGUCACAGAAACUUUUUUCUUUUAAUUUUUAUUUCUAAUUUUUAAUUUAAUUUUUAAUUUAUGUAUAUAGUUUGUGGAUGAGAUAGAUGAAAAGCUUAUUGAUAACAAAAGACUUUGAAACAUAGAAAUAAAUUGGGUUUAACAUCUGUGGGUAACACAAAAAUUUGUACAUGGAUGUUUCUAGCAGCAGUGUCUACAAUAGCCAAAAAGUAGAAACAGCCCAAAUGUCCACCAACUGAUGAAUAAAUAAAAUGUAGUAUAUCCAUAUAAUGGAAUAUUAUUGGAUUAUACAAGGGAACUAGUACAGAUACAUGCUGCAACAUGGAUGAACCCUGAAACGUUAUGCGAAGUGAAGGAAGCCAGUCACAAAAGACUACAUAUUGUAUGAUUCCAUUUGUAUGAAAUGCCCAGAAUAAGCAAACCCGUAGACAGAAAGUAGAUUAGUGGUUGCUUAGGGCUGUGGUAGGGGACCAGGGAAAGGGGAGUAAUUGCCAGUCAGUACAAGGUUUCUUUUUGGGGUGAUGGAAAUGUUGUAACGUGGAUUCUGGUGAUGAUCGCCCAACUCUGGACAUUCCAAAAACCACUGCAUUAUACACUCAAAGUGGAUGGAUUGUAUGAUAUGUGAUUUAUAUUUCAGGAAAGCUAAGAAAAACACCUGGAGGGAAAUGGAAUGGAAAAUACGACUUAAAACAGAAAAAAAGAAUAAUGUACAAUUAUUGACUAUGAAGGAUCUUGUGCAUGUACAAAGCACCAUAAACUAGAUUCUUUGCAACCAUUUGAACUUGGGUUAAGAUGUGGACGUCAAACUAGACAUUGCAGGUACAACUAAGAAGUAGAAGGAGAGCAGGGAGGACUGUUUUCAGCUGGAAGGAGUGUCAGGGGUCAUCUGGACUGGGCCAGCCAAGGACUCCAAGCCAUCCGUUGGAUCCAGUUGGCAAUUAUGGAGUCCUUGAUUUUGACAUUCUCCUUUCCUACAGACUACAAUCCAGCGUGGAGGCUGGUGGCUGGAGGCAGAGUUGAGGGAGGUUAGAGAAGAGAGCAACAGGGAGGAAGUGAGGACACCAGCUGUGGACUGCACUUAAGAAGUUAGAACACAGAGAUAAUGGGGUGGCAGUUUGCUAACUUUGGGGAGAAGUGGUGUAAAGGUAGUUGUUACUACUCUACAAUGCAAUCAACUUGAACAUGUUUGUGGACGAAGGGCGAGAGAGUGGAGACGGGAAAGACGCUCAUUUCUGCCACGGGCAGAAUGUUCUGCACAUCAGCCAGCUUACUUCAGAGUUGUGCCUCUCUCCUCCAGCAAGCGGGGUCUGUCCUCACUCGGUAGCUCUGCGGGACCUCCCAAGUCCUUGUUCAGGCAACAAGCCACUAUCUUCACAUACUGUUUCCUAAACUGCUUAUCUCAUUUUUAAUGUUGCAGAUGUUUAGGGCUCCGACAGGGUAGGGGUGUGGGUGGAUAACAGGCUUGCUCAACAUUCUUUUGAAUCUGACUGAUUUAGGGUAAGAGUGGCUUCUAAAAAUUUCUUGGGUGGGAGUGAAAACAGAGGCUUUAAGGUCAAAAUUUUAAACUCACCUUAGUUCACGUGAACUCUGCUGGAAGUGAAGAAACCAAUCCUCCUCAAAUACUGGAGGAAAUGGGUCCCACAGAGUGGGAGGCAGACGAGAUGCCUUUUCCUUCUGUGGCCUGAGCCUCCACACACCAGCUGGGCCCCAGAGCACAUGGCUGAAUCCGCAGCAUGAGACCGAAGAGGGUCAUGUGAAAAUUCACAGCGAACAGGGUUUUUCCCCACAAGGUGCUCCAUUGUUACUCCAGUUCACUUGAACCUACUUCAUUAUUUUUACACUCUUACGAAAUGCUCUCAACAAGAACUGCAACAGUAAAGAGAAGAAAGGAAGUAUUUAGAAAUAUUAAGAGAGAGGCGUGGUUGGGACAAAGCAUCUUGCAUUAUCGUCUGCUGCAAUGAGGAGGAAAAGACUGAGCCAAGGGAAUUUCUUACAUUCCUCAUGUAUCUAGAGCCACACCAUCCAUGUGAAGGUCACAUCGGAUGGACACAGUGAGGUCAUGGUGAGGGAGUUGACUUCCGACACAGUGAGGUCAUGGUGAGGGAGUUGACUUCCGCUAGAUCUCCUCAGUCUUUAUAUACUCUCUUUUCCUGGCUUAAUGUUAACACUUGGUGAAUUACAGACUAUGUUACAAGGUGGCCAAAGAACGAUGCGGUUUCAGGUAGAUGUAUCUGAAGUUCCUUGGCAUUGAGCGAACAGUUUUCCAGGACAUAGUUUGGUGGAAACAGACUAGCAGCGAUGGUAACAAUUAUUAACGGGAGAAAUUAUUUGUCUUUGUUUUUGAAUUCCUACGUAAUAUUGUCAUUGUUAUCGUCACAGUGUUUUGUCCCGGGCCCUUAAGCUUCCCUUGCCCCCUGAGUGGCUAAGAGCACUGAGAACACAAAGAUAAAUAGUACACAGCCUCUCUAAAGAGCAGUUCUUAUUCAGGUGUCCAUGGAUCCUUGUCCUUGGAUGGCAUUCAGCGGCUUUGUGAACUUGAAUGGAGAAAAAAUUACGUUUUCAGUAACCUCUAACUGCAACGCAGUAUUUCCUUCAGAAAGAAACGGUGAUGGAAAACACAGUAGCAUCAGCCGUACCUGUGACCCGUGGUCACCAGGAAACACAUGUAUUUUCAUAUACAUAUCCCAUCACAGCUGUGUGCGGCUCUCUUGAAAUAUUGCAUAUACAUAUCGCUACUUUGAAAUAAUGGCAGUUAUUUGACCUGCCGCUGGAUAUUGUCAUUUAAUACGUCCGUGAAAAGGCACGUGUUAUUACAUCAAAUAUGUGUUUUGAUAGUCUGACAACCAUAUGUCGUGAUCAGUUCAUUGCACGCGCCUGUGUAGUUUACCUUAUUCUGGGAAGUCUUCACAAGACUGCCAAAGGUGACUGAGGCACAAUAAAUGGUUAAGAACCCCUUUAGGUGUACAGGUUCAUGGAAGUGGUGAGUAGAGGCAAGAAAUAUGCCCAGGAGUUACAGGAGCCCAAGAAGGGGGCUGACUCGGCUGCAGGAGACUCCUGAGCUGCAUCUGGAAUAAAGCGUGAAGAGCAGAAGAAAGAAGCAGGAGGUCACUUGCAGGGAGAGAACGCAAUGAGCGCACGCGGCCUGAAACCACCAGGCCUCUGUGGAAAUGGGGAGUACUGAGUGUUAAAUGCUUGCUUGCUGUACUGAGUCUUGGGGGUUAAAGAAUGAAUCAAAGACUCAGUCUAGAGGGUCGGUAAGCUCAUGUUUUAGAGCAAUUUUUAUGGGGACAUGGACAGGUUUCAAUUCCCUUGAAAGUAAUUCAGUGGCAUAUAAUAAUUUUUUUUUUUUUUAUGAGAGAGAGAGCUGGGGAGAGGGAGAGAGAGAGAGAGAGAGAGAGAGAGAGAGAGAGAAUCUUAAGCAAGCUCUGUGCUCACUGUAGAGCCCGGUGCAGGGCUUGAUCUCAUGACCCUGGGAUCAUGACCUGAGCCAAAAUCAAGAGUCAGACACCCAACCGACUGAGCCACUCAGGUGCCAGGGGUAUACAGCUUUUACAAACAGCUUUUUUGAUGUAUACUUCACAUACAAUGGAUGCAGAUAUGUGUUAAGUUUUGACGUGUGCAUACAUUGUGAACACGGCACAAUCAAGAUACGGGGUAUCUGUAUCACCCCUUCCCCCAAAGUUCCCUAGAGCCCCUCCUGUCCUGCUACCCCAUCCCUCCCCCGACAACUGCUCAUCUGUCAUGUAGAGUCAUGUGCUUUUCCAGAAUUUUAUGUGAAUAAAAUCAUGCACAAUGUACUCUUUUUGCACUGGUUUUGAGCAUAACGCUUUUGAGAUUCAUUCAUGCUGUUACAAAUCAAUAGUUCAUUCCUUUUUUAUUGUGAGAUGUAUUUAUUAUAGAAGUGUGUAUGUUGAGAAGGGGGGAGAGAAUCAACCGUUGUUUUCCUAAUACAAAGUUUAAAGAGGGAGCGGGAUUUCUACUGCUUAUCAAAUGGGAAUAUGGGUUAAAAAUUGAGAAAUGCUGGUCUGGAGUGUGGUCAGAGUGCAUUCCAGCCCAAGUUUUUUCCUACCGUCGAUGUUAAACUCAAGCACAUUUGGAAAUAUUUUAGACCUGAAAGAAAGCAUCGGGACAUCAAAACAAGCACCACAGCUGAGCGGGCCUUUGCAACCACAGGCCUUCUGAUGAAAAGAUUUGUGGAGACUGCCUAAUGAAGUGUUCAGAAAGCAUUCUGUGUGUCAUCUGUUUUCCUGACGACCUCCUCACUGGGUAGAUAAGGGGCAAGAAUUAUUUUCCGUGUUGCACAAAUAGGAAAUGAGGUAUAGUGAGUUUGAGAGAAUUAUUACUCAAAAUAGAAGUGAGUCAGGGGCAGAUUGGGGACUGCACACGACCUCUCCUGAUCCUCUAAUCCUAGCCUUGCUGGCAGGCCGGUCUGGCCCUAGGUUUUGAAGAAAAUACAAUGAUUUCACUUUCACUUUUGUGCUUGUGUGGGUUGUGAUAGAAUCUUUACAUUGGAGGAGUUAACGGGUUUUUUUUGUUUGUUUGUUUCUUCUUCCUUUUAAAAAAUUUCCCCUUUCCAACUUGGUAAAUGCCAACAUCUGUGUUUACUCCAUUCGGUUGAAUUCAGCCACCAAAUACCUGUUUUGCGCAAGGCUCCUUACCGGCAUGGAAGAGGCACCAAGCUGGAUAAACCCUGGCGGAGCCGGUAGAACAAAAGGACCAAAUGAGAAUUGAAUGCUGUUUCUUACCGUCUUUUGAGUCAUGGGAAAUUUGAGAAUCUGGUGAAAGUUAUGGGUCCUCUCCCUCAAAAAAAAAAAAAAAAAGAGAAAAGGAAAAAAAAAGCACAUAUGUGCACACACACACAAUUUUGCAAUGAUUUUAGAGCGUUUGAAGAUUUUCCCUUCCACUCCCGAACUUGUCCGUAGAAUGACCCGAGGGUAUUUUUUAGCAUGAAAUGAAAUAGUGAUGCCUUGAAGGAAGCACAAAGCCAUAGUCACUGACUAGAAAGAGAGAUUAGAGAUAAGAUCCAGGUGGGUCACAGGGGCUGGUGGGGCUGGUGGGGUAGGUAUGUUUUGAAACAGGCCUGUCUAGUUAGAGGUCAGGCAUUUGUCUCUAUGAGGCAGGAUUCCAGCAGAAGGAAGGAGGGUAGGAAGUAGGAAAACUCAAACAAUCCAACAAGCAGAGUUUGGCAGGAGGAAGAUUACAUGAUGAGGAAUCAUCAGAAUCAUUAGAAACCAUCAUAGAAAGAUAGAGGUCUUAUUGUGAGUGACGUUGGAAGCAAGGUGAGUACUCUUCCGCCCGCCACCCUGAGUGAAGUAUCUCUAUUGCCUUUGAUUUAUUUAUUUUUCAGGCAGGGGUUUUGGAGUGUGACUAGUACAUCCUCAUCGUAACGAACAAAGGAAGUAACAAAAAUCAGAAAUUCUCAAGUCAUAUUAUCUGAUCUCUAUUGAUAGUUGGUAUAUUUUGUUCUGGUUCAUGAACAUCGUCAUUCCUCAUCACUGUCUCAACUCUGACCGACCACCCUUGUCAAAAAAUAAGUCCUAUAAAUUUACCACAGUUUUUAUAGCUCUUCUCUGUUUAUGUUCCUUACGGUUUUUUUUUUAAAGAUUUUUUAACAAUUAUUUUAGAGAGAGAGAGAGAGUGAGAGAGCAUGGGAGGGGCAGAGAGAGAGGGGGUUAGAGGAUCUGAAGCGGGCUCUGUGUUCACAGCGGAGAGCCCAAAGUGGAGCUCGAACUCACAAACCGUGAGAUCAUGACCUGAGCUGAAGUAGGACACUUAGCUGACUGAGCCACCCAGGCACCCCUCUUUAUGGUUUUUUAAAACACAACAAACAUUUUAUACAAAUAUUGUUCUUAAUUUCUUAAGUUUAUUUUUCUUAUUUUGAGAGAGAGAGAAUGAGAGAGUGAAAUUGGGGAAGGGGAAGAGAGAGAGAGGAGAGAGAGAGAGAGAGAGAGAGAGAGAGAGAGAGAGAAUCCCAAGCAGGCUUCAUGCUUUUAGCACCGAGCCCAAUGUAGGGCUCAAACCCACAAACUGUGAGAUCAUGACCUGAACUAAAAUCAAGUCAGACGCUUAACCAACUGAGCCACCUAGAUGCCCCUGUUCUUAAUGAAAACAAAAACAAAAACAAAAAACAAACAACUAUUAUUACUUUAGGACAGAUACACAGAGGAGGAAUUAUUGGUCAGUGUGUAUGACCUUCUUUGGAAGAUAGUAGGCUUAUAUUAGUAAACAGCUUUCUGAAUAGUUAUUUGCCUGCUCUCUUACUUUCUUCUCUUUACUUAUUUUCUUUCAGUAUCCUUUGCUCCUUAGUCUGUUUCUUAAAUACUGGAGCUCCCCACUUCCCCACCCAUCCUGGGCCCUUUCUCACUGAACACGUUCUCUUCUUGACUCUCAUUCACAAUAAACACGUGUCAAAUGCCUGUCAUGUACCAAGCAUUGUGUUUAACAUCAUGACACGUAAUUUUCACCACGUCCCUGUCACAUGAUGAUUAAUAUCUUCAUUUUCAGACGUAGACACCGGAAAGGAAGGUUGCUUUCCCAGGGGCAUAGCCCCAGAGGCUCUUGGGGAAUGUCUCUGGUCCAUCACCUUAAGUGUGCACCUUCCGCUUCCACGUCUCUGCUGAGCUCGCCAGCAGCAUGUUAACGGCGGACAUUUCCAUCCAGUGUUCCCAUGGAUGCCCCAGGCUCAAUAUGUCAAACACAGCUUCCAACUCUUACCUGCAAACUAGCUUCCCCAUUGCGUAAGUCCCUAAUCCACCCUUAACAACGAUCUUUUCUUUUACCUGUUCCUAAUCACCCUACCCGGGUUUUAUGCACCAAUUCCAUGCCCACAUCCUGUAUCCUCCCACCCACGUGGACAUCACGAUUCCAAGACAUUUAGUGUAGCUUUCACCUUGGCCUACCUGCCUCCACUUAACUUUCCUCUCACCAUUCCUACUACUGGCAACUUGAGCAAACAGAUUUCUAAAACUUAUCAUGGUAUCUCCCCACCUUAAAAACUUUCAGUGGCUCCCCUUUACCUUCAAAAUAAAAUUCAAGGUUCUUAGCACGACCUCUCCGUGUCUCAGUUGCCGCACCCCUCCCCUCUGGUCUGCUGCUUUCCCUUUUCUUCGCUCUGGUUUCCAAUCCCAGGGAACUACUUGAAGUUAUAACAAAUGGGAUCCUGGCUCCCUCCUUUCUCCUUGACCCUGUAAACUCCCAUCCCUCACUUCUCCUGGCUGACUCUUCUUAUCUCUCAGAUCUGACUGUGGUGGUAGGGCGAGGGGGCCUUUCCUCCCUUCUCUUUCCUCACCCUCCCGGCCGCCUCCAGCAUGCCUGACUCCUUCACAGAGAUUAUCAGAUUUUGUUUUAAUCCUCUGAUUACUAUUGUGUUUUUCCAUUUCCUUGACUAAGACUUUUGAGAGCAGAGCCUGAGUUAUUUGAUCGUCUUUGUAUCCCCAUAGACUCCAAAGGUGCUCAGCAAACGUUUGGUGAAUAAGCUGUGGUGUUUCCCCAAAGCCUCCGCGCACUCAGUGGACGUCCAAUACCGUUUUUUUCUGUCCUAUAGGGCACAUAGAAUUGAGACUUUGCAGAUUUGACUUUAUAGGAAUGUACCGCAAAAGUCCCUGAAUAAAGGGGCACCUGGGUGGCUCAGCAGGUUAAGUGUCCAACUUCGGCUCAGGUCAUGGUCUCAUGGUUCAUGAGUUCGAGGCCCGUGGCUCCGCGCUGACCGUGCAGAGCCUGCUUGGGAUUCUCGCUUUCUCCCUCACUCUUCACUCUCUGCUCCUCCCCCACUUGCGCUUUGUCUCAAAAUAAAUAAAUACGCUUUCAAAAAAAGUCCCUAAAUGAGAAUUCAUUUGACUCUAGUGUUCUGAAUUGUAAAACCAUUGCCUGUUUUAGUCAGAUAGCUUUUGCUAGUAACCUCCUCCACCCCCAGUUUAGCGCCUACAACAACCAUGUGUUUAGUCCGUGAUUCUGUGGUCAGGCGAUUCUGGUCUGGGCAGCUCAGCUGACUUCUUCUGGGCUGGCCGAAUGGCUAGAGUCAGCCAAUGAGUUAGAUGGUGGCCAAAUAACUAAGGAAGGCCUUGCUGAUAGGUCUCGCAAUUGGCCAGAGAGCCUUGAUGUGUCUCCAUGUUUCUUCUCCAGCAGGCUGGCUCAGGCUCAUCCACACGGUAGUGUUAGGGCCCUAGAUACAGCAGGAGAGGAAACCCUCGCUGGGGAAUUAAAGCCACCGCUUGCAUCACAUUUUUUUUCACAAGUCACAGGACCAUCUACGAUGCAAGGGAUAGGAAGGUAGACUCUACCUUUUGAUGGGAAGUGCAGUGUCACACUCCAAGAAGAGAAUUCGUGGUCAUUUUUACAAACAGCUCCCUGGUCACUGAAUACAUAAUUUCCACAGUAUCUGAGAGAUACUAGGCACUUAAUAAAAAUCUGGAUUUUUGGAUAAUUUAUUGGUCACAUAUACAAAUUGCAUUGAAGUAUGCCUAGGAAAAAUUGAGUUCCAGUUUAUCUUAUUUUUGGAUCCUUGAUAUUAGUGUCACACAGAAUGCAUCAUUGCAGAGCUAUUAAUAAAAUGUUAACAUCAAUACCUCAAAUGCAUUUUUGGAAAAGGGAGUUAUUGAAGAAUAUUGAAUUUAAUGUAGAAUUGAAUUAAUUAAGGAUAAUGGCCAAAAGCCUGAUCGUAUUGGACAAGUGCCAGGUAUGGAUCAAAAGCUACAGAAAAGUUUGGUUUGCAUUUAAAAAAUAUCUUGUGCAUGAAGCCGCUCCAUAUCUGUACGCCUCAUUGUCAUUUCUAUGCAGAAUAUCUACCUACUAGAAUGGUUUCAUAUUUCUAAAAUUGUUUUCUGUUUUGGUCGGGUUACAAUUUUAGCUGCCCGACAUGAUUACAGGCAUACCUCGUUUUAUGGUGCUUUGCUUGGUUGUGUUUUGCAGAUAUUGUGUUUUUUACAAAUCGACGGUUCAAGACUUCAGUGGGGGAAGUAACAGCAGAUGUGAAUAUUAGCAAGAGAACUGGAAUGUAGCAGCGGACCUGGAAGAUGGGACUGAAUUGUCGUGAUCUCAUGACAAAACUUGAAUGGAUGAGGAGUUGUUUCUUAAGAACGAGCAAAAGAAAGUAGUUUUUGAGAUGGAACCUACUCCUGGUGAAGAUGCUAUAAAGAUUGUUGACAUGACCACAAAGGAUUCAGAAUUUACAUGGACUUAGUUGAUAAAGCAGGGACUUUGAAAGAAGUUAAACUGUGGGUGAAAUGCAAUCGUUUCUACAUUUCACAGGUAAAUCAUUCAUGAAGGGGGGAGUCAAUCGCCGUGGCAAACUUUACUGUUGUCUUAUCUGAAGACACUACCUCGGCAAUGCCAACCUUCAGCAACCUGCACCCAGAUCAGUCAGUUGCCAUCAGCACUGAGGCAAGACCCUCCAUCAACAAAAAGAUUAUGAGUCUCCCAAGGCUCAGAUGAUGGUUAGUGUUUUUUACCGAAGUAUUUUUU
rnacentral:lncRNA from 1 species